rnacentral:rRNA from 1 species
GAUGAACGCUGGCGGCGUGCCUAAUACAUGCAAGUCGAGCGAACGGACGAGAAGCUUGCUUCUCUGAUGUUAGCGGCGGACGGGUGAGUAACACGUGGAUAACCUACCUAUAAGACUGGGAUAACUUCGGGAAACCGGAGCUAAUACCGGAUAAUAUUUUGAACCGCAUGGUUCAAAAGUGAAAGACGGUCUUGCUGUCACUUAUAGAUGGAUCCGCGCUGCAUUAGCUAGUUGGUAAGGUAACGGCUUACCAAGGCAACGAUGCAUAGCCGACCUGAGAGGGUGAUCGGCCACACUGGAACUGAGACACGGUCCAGACUCCUACGGGAGGCAGCAGUAGGGAAUCUUCCGCAAUGGGCGAAAGCCUGACGGAGCAACGCCGCGUGAGUGAUGAAGGUCUUCGGAUCGUAAAACUCUGUUAUUAGGGAAGAACAUAUGUGUAAGUAACUGUGCACAUCUUGACGGUACCUAAUCAGAAAGCCACGGCUAACUACGUGCCAGCAGCCGCGAUAAUACGUAGGUGGCAAGCGUUAUCCGGAAUUAUUGGGCGUAAAGCGCGCGUAGGCGGUUUUUUAAGUCUGAUGUGAAAGCCCACGGCUCAACCGUGGAGGGUCAUUGGAAACUGGAAAACUUGAGUGCAGAAGAGGAAAGUGGAAUUCCAUGUGUAGCGGUGAAAUGCGCAGAGAUAUGGAGGAACACCAGUGGCGAAGGCGACUUUCUGGUCUGUAACUGACGCUGAUGUGCGAAAGCGUGGGGAUCAAACAGGAUUAGAUACCCUGGUAGUCCACGCCGUAAACGAUGGGUGCUAAGUGUUAGGGGGUUUCCGCCCCUUAGUGCUGCAGCUAACGCAUUAAGCACUCCGCCUGGGGAGUACGACCGCAAGGUUGAAACUCAAAGGAAUUGACGGGGACCCGCACAAGCGGUGGAGCAUGUGGUUUAAUUCGAAGCAACGCGAAGAACCUUACCAAAUCUUGACAUCCUUUGACAACUCUAGAGAUAGAGCCUUCCCCUUCGGGGGACAAAGUGACAGGUGGUGCAUGGUUGUCGUCAGCUCGUGUCGUGAGAUGUUGGGUUAAGUCCCGCAACGAGCGCAACCCUUAAGCUUAGUUGCCAUCAUUAAGUUGGGCACUCUAAGUUGACUGCCGGUGACAAACCGGAGGAAGGUGGGGAUGACGUCAAAUCAUCAUGCCCCUUAUGAUUUGGGCUACACACGUGCUACAAUGGACAAUACAAAGGGCAGCGAAACCGCGAGGUCAAGCAAAUCCCAUAAAGUUGUUCUCAGUUCGGAUUGUAGUCUGCAACUCGACUACAUGAAGCUGGAAUCGCUAGUAAUCGUAGAUCAGCAUGCUACGGUGAAUACGUUCCCGGGUCU